rnacentral:lncRNA from 1 species
CUCACUCUGUUUCCUAUCACGAUAUUAAAGCUAAAUAAAUAAUUAAAUGGUACUUUGUGACUUUAUAGAUGUAUAAUUGAUUAAGGUUGCCAAUGGAGCCCGAAUCUGAUACAGUGUUGGUCUGUUAUUAUUUGAUCUAAUUUUCAGUAUUAAAUGCAGCAUGAUAUUUGAUGUAAUUAUGUUAUGAUAUCGUAUGCAUGAAUCAUGGUUUCUUUUAUUAUGGUUUGUAUUAUGGUGAACCCGGUACUGUUUUGUUUGGUGUCAAUUACUGGUUUACAUGUUGUGUAUGAUUGGAUGAUUGAGAUUAAGGAAAAAGGCAAAAAGGUUAUGUGAAUUGAUAAGUGGAUAAUGUGGAUAGCCUGACUAGAUAUCCUGGGAGAUGGUGG